AUUGAACGCUGGCGGCAGGCCUAACACAUGCAAGUCGAACGAGUGGCGGACGGGUGAGUUAUGUCUGGGCAACUGCCUGCUGGAGGGGGAUAACUACUGGAAACGGUAGCUAAUACCUCCUCCCAUCGGAUGUUCUCAGAUGGGAUUUGCUUGUUGGUGGGGUAACGUCUCACCUAGGCGACGAUCCCUAGCUGGUCUGAGAGGAUGACCAGCAACACGGGAACGGAGACACGGUCCAAAAUCCUACGGGAGGCAGCAGUGGGGAAUAUUGGGCAAUGGGCGCAAGCCUGAUGCAGCCAUGCCGCGUGUAUGAAGAAGGCCUUCGGGUUGUAAAGGACUUUAAGCGGGGAGGCGUUACCCGCAGAAGAAGCACCGGCUAACUCCGUGCCAGCAGCCGCGGUAAUUC
rnacentral:rRNA from 1 species